AGUGUGUGUCCCAGGGAGCAGAAGGUGCCGUCCUUCCUCCCCAGCGGCAGUGUGUAUCCCAGGGAGCUGAAGGUACCGUCCUUCCUCCCCAGCGGCAGUGUGUACCCCAGGGAGCAGAAGGUACCGUCCUUCCUCCCCAGCGGCAGUGUGUACCCCAGGGAGCAGAAGGUACCGUCCUUCCUCCCCAGCGGCAGUGUGUACCCCAGGGAGCAGAAGGUGCCGUCCUUCCUCCCCAGCGGCAGUGUGUGUCCCAGGGAGC